rnacentral:rRNA from 1 species
UACGUAGGGUGCAAGCGUUGUCCGGAAUUAUUGGGCGUAAAGAGCUCGUAGGCGGUUUGUCGCGUCUGCUGUGAAAACCCGAGGCUCAACCUCGGGCCUGCAGUGGGUACGGGCAGACUAGAGUGAUGUAGGGGAGACUGGAAUUCCUGGUGUAGCGGUGAAAUGCGCAGAUAUCAGGAGGAACACCAACAGCGAAGGCAGAUCUCUGGGACGUUACUGACGCUGAGACGCGAAAGCGUGGGGAGCAAACAGG